UCCAGCGGUAGUCAGCUGUCUGCAUCAUUACCUUGUCUGACAGUGUUAUGCUGCUGGGAGAUGAAAGUACUGUCUAGUUGAGCUGUUUGUCAGAGUCUCUGUUCUGGAGGCAGCUGGCGCCAGCGUGGGGCAGUACUGUGCUUUCUCUGAGAGUGUGCUAAGCAGAUAACAUCCUGCUUAGCACUAGUCUGGAAGCAUACAUG
ensembl:snoRNA SNORA74 Small nucleolar RNA SNORA74